GUCAAGGAGGCGAUCACCUAUCAACGGCGCAUAAAACUGGGUGCUCUUUGAUGGUUACCACCAGUAUUAGCAGAUUGAGUACCAACAUUUUUGGGCACAUUUAGCUAGUCAAUGUUAAUGGGAAUCCUUACUUCAUUCCAUCAGCCUGGUGAGAUUGUAAUCGAAAACAGUAACCCCCGAUGCGCCGGGUAGCCCCCAUAUGCUUUAAGAAUGCUACUAUAGCCUUAACAGGCAUGGAGAGGGUUAAGGUGGAAUGUUGCAGAGAGAAGUUUCCGAGCUGGCGUGACUUUCAUGUACAGUUCACGAUAUCUGUCUCCUGGAGAGAUCUGACGAUGUUGUUUUUCAUUAUUUAAAGAAUCUGUGGAAAGUUUAAAGUUGCUCGGUAUAAAUUAGACCUCCAAGACGCACUCAUUUCGCUUUCAGGUCUUCUAAGAAUGGUUCACUGGUUACGUCUCUUCCUCCCCCCCAUCCCCCACCCUUCCUGUAUUGAGAUAUAUUUAUUUUUUAUUCUUUUAUUUUUUAUUUCCACUGGCAGUGGAAUGUGACCCAGAAACUUCUGUUUGAAAAAAAAACCUUUCCUCCGGUACAAGUCUCAUUGUAAAUAUUAAUGCUUCAUAGAUAAAGGAAGAUAGUG